rnacentral:sRNA from 1 species
AAAAAAAAAGGUCAUUGAUUUUGCAAUUAGGGCUAAAGGAUUGUGGGUCUGUGCUCCAUUUGAUAGUAAUCUCUUUCCCUUAGAUAGGAAGAGACAGAAAUGAUCCUCAUAGAAUAUUUAUAGUCCAAAUUCUGUCAACAAUGUAAGCAGUCAUAAGAUUUAUAGAUCUUUUAGUUAGAUAUUAUUGAUUUGGUUUUCCUUUACUUUCUAGAUCCUAUGAUUUCUAGAAGUACAUCUACUUGGAGAAUACCCAACAGGAAGAGACGUUUCAGCAGUAGUGACUUUUCAGACCUGAGUAAUGGAGAAGAGCUUCAGGAAACCUGCAGCUCAUCCCUAAGAAGUGGGUCAGGUAAAGAAGAUUAGGAUGCCAAGACUUGGCCUGCAGAAUGUCAGGAAUGUGAAUUAAAAGCUGCUGUUUCCAGACACUUUUUAUUCUGAGCACCUUCACUACCUUGUAUCCAGUUCAUCUGGGAACUCCUUUUUGCAUUUUAGAAAAUGGAAAGAGGCAGGAAGUUAUGAUAAACUCAUGUUUAACAGAAAGAGUUUCACUGACUAAAUGUAUGUAAUUAUAUUUUGCUGUUGUAGAAGAAAUAAAUAGCAAAUUUGUGGUA